rnacentral:rRNA from 1 species
UACGUAGGGGGCAAGCGUUGUCCGGAUUUAUUGGGCGUAAAGCGCGUGUAGGCGGCCAGAUAGGUCUGCUGUGAAAACUCGAGGCUCAACCUCGAGCUGUCGGCGGAAACCAUCUGGCUAGAGUCCGGAAGAGGAGAGUGGAAUUCCUGGUGUAGCGGUGAAAUGCGCAGAUAUCAGGAAGAACACCUAUGGCGAAGGCGGGUUGCUGGGCUGACACUGACGCUGAAGUGCGAAAGCUAGGGGAGCGAACGGG